CCUACGGGAGGCAGCAGUGGGGAAUAUUGCACAAUGGGGGGAACCCUGAUGCAGCGACGCCGCGUGAGUGAAGAAGUAUUUCGGUAUGUAAAGCUCUAUCAGCAGGGAAGAAGAUGACGGUACCUGACUAAGAAGCCCCGGCUAACUACGUGCCAGCAGCCGCGGUAAUACGUAGGGGGCAAGCGUUAUCCGGAUUUACUGGGUGUAAAGGGAGCGUAGACGGCAGGGCAAGUCUGGAGUGAAAGCCCCGGGCCCAACCCCGGGACUGCUUUGGAAACUGCCAUGCUAGAGUGCUGGAGAGGGAAGCGGAAGGCCUAGUGUAGCGGUGAAAUGCGUAGAUAUUAGGAGGAACACCAGUGGCGAAGGCGGCUUACUGGACAGUAACUGACGUUGAGGCUCGAAAGCGUGGGGAGCAAACAGGAUUAGAUACCCCAGUAGUC
rnacentral:rRNA from 1 species